AAAAAUGUGUUUCUCUUAAUCAGGCCUACUUUCCCCACUCCCAAACAAUGAUACAUCUUCUCCAAGCAUUGGAUGUGGCCAAUCGGCUAGAAGUGAUUCCUAAAAUUUGGAAAGUAAAGAAUAUGGUCAUACUUUCCGCAGUGACCUGAGAGAAGAGAUCCUGAUGCUCAUGGCAAGGGACAAGCACCCACCAGAGCUUCAGGUGGCAUUUGCUGACUGUGCUGCUGAUAUCAAAUCUGCGUAUGAAAGCCAACCCAUCAGACAGACUGCUCAGGAUUGGCCAGCCACCUCUCUCAACUGUAUAGCUAUCCUCUUUUUAAGGGCUGGGAGAACUCAGGAAGCCUGGUGAGUACAGUACCACAAGUAUACACUUUAGAAGCUUUUGUAUUUGAAUCUAAAACAUUGGCCCACGCUGGUAGAGGUUCUUUCAUUUGGCCACAUAACACGUAUUUGAUUCGGGAACUUGCAAAUACCAACUAAAAAGCAAACUUUUGGAAGAAGACAGUAUGCAUGAUGUAGUUGAGAUAAGGCAUAGUUCUCUCAAACCAUACGCUGA
rnacentral:lncRNA from 1 species